CUACGGGUCGCUCCAGUGAGGAAUAUUGCACAAUGGGGGGAACCCUGAUGCAGCAACGCCGCGUGGAGGAUGACGCAUUUCGGUGUGUAAACUCCUUUUAUAUGUCAAGAAAAUGACGGUAGCAUAUGAAUAAGCACCGGCUAACCCCGUGCCAGCAGCCGCGGUAAUACGGAGGGUGCAAGCGUUACUCGGAAUCACUGGGCGUAAAGGACGCGUAGGCGGGUUGGAAAGUCAGGUGUGAGAUCCUACAGCUUAACUGUAGAACUGCACUUGAAACUUCUAAUCUAGAGUAUGGGAGGGGGAGAUGGAAUUAGUGGUGUAGGGGUAAAAUCCGUAGAUAUCACUAGGAAUACCUAAAGCGAAGGCGAUCUCCUGGAACAUUACUGACGCUAAGGCGUGAAAGCGUGGGGAGCAAACAGGAUUAGAUACCCCUGUAGUC
rnacentral:rRNA from 1 species